GACGAACGCUGGCGGCGUGCUUAACACAUGCAAGUCGAACGGAAAGGCCCUGCUUUUGUGGGGUGCUCGAGUGGCGAACGGGUGAGUAACACGUGAGAAACCUGCCCUUGACUUUGGGAUAACUUCAGGAAACUGGGGCUAAUACCGGAUAGGAGCUCCUGCUGCAUGGUGGGGGUUGGAAAGUUUCGGCGGUUGGGGAUGGACUCGCGGCUUAUCAGCUUGUUGGUGGGGUAGUGGCUUACCAAGGCUUUGACGGGUAGCCGGCCUGAGAGGGUGACCGGCCACAUUGGGACUGAGAUACGGCCCAGACUCCUACGGGAGGCAGCAGUGGGGAAUAUUGCACAAUGGGCGGAAGCCUGAUGCAGCAACGCCGCGUGCGGGAUGACGGCCUUCGGGUUGUAAACCGCUUUCGCUUGUGACGAAGCGUGAGUGACGGUAAUGGGUAAAGAAGCACCGGCUAACUACGUG
rnacentral:rRNA from 1 species